rnacentral:misc_RNA from 1 species
GGUCCCACAGAAGUACGUACCUCAAUGGCUUUUGCUGCUUGCUCUUUUGUUUCAAAUUCCACAAAGGCAAAUCCCUUAGGAUCCCCAGUAGACUUGUAAUGUGGAAUACUUAUGUAAACCACAUUGCCACAUUUCCCAAAUACUCUCUCAAUCCAGCUAUGAGUAACAUUUUUGGGGAGCAACUCCUGUAAUAAAUCAUGGUAUGAGCAUUUUAAAGUUCCUACAUUUUUACCAAUAAAUAAAUGAAUUAUAAAUAAAAAAAAAAAAAAA